rnacentral:rRNA from 1 species
CAUUAACUGAAUCCAUAGGUUAAUGAGGCGAACCGGGGGAACUGAAACAUCUAAGUACCCCGAGGAAAAGAAAUCAACCGAGAUUCCCCCAGUAGCGGCGAGCGAACGGGGAGGAGCCCAGAGCCUGAAUCAGUGUGUGUGUUAGUGGAAGCGUCUGGAAAGGCGCGCGAUACAGGGUGACAGCCCCGUACACAAAAAUGCACAUAUUGUGAGCUCGAUGAGUAGGGCGGGACACGUGGUAUCCUGUCUGAAUAUGGGGGGACCAUCCUCCAAGGCUAAAUACUCCUGACUGACCGAUAGUGAACCAGUACCGUGAGGGAAAGGCGAAAAGAACCCCGGCGAGGGGAGUGAAAAAGAACCUGAAACCGUGUACGUACAAGCAGUGGGAGCCUCUUAAUGGGGUGACUGCGUACCUUUUGUAUAAUGGGUCAGCGACUUAUAUUCUGUAGCAAGGUUAACCGAAUAGGGGAGCCGAAGGGAAACCGAGUCUUAACUGGGCGUUAAGUUGCAGGGUAUAGACCCGAAACCCGGUGAUCUAGCCAUGGGCAGGUUGAAGGUUGGGUAACACUAACUGGAGGACCGAACCGACUAAUGUUGAAAAAUUAGCGGAUGACUUGUGGCUGGGGGUGAAAGGCCAAUCAAACCGGGAGAUAGCUGGUUCUCCCCGAAAGCUAUUUAGGUAGCGCCUCGUGAAUUCAUCUCCGGGGGUAGAGCACUGUUUCGGCAAGGGGGUCAUCCCGACUUACCAACCCGAUGCAAACUGCGAAUACCGGAGAAUGUUAUCACGGGAGACACACGGCGGGUGCUAACGUCCGUCGUGAAGAGGGAAACAACCCAGACCGCCAGCUAAGGUCCCAAAGUCAUGGUUAAGUGGGAAACGAUGUGGGAAGGCCCAGACAGCCAGGAUGUUGGCUUAGAAGCAGCCAUCAUUUAAAGAAAGCGUAAUAGCUCACUGGUCGAGUCGGCCUGCGCGGAAGAUGUAACGGGGCUAAACCAUGCACCGAAGCUGCGGCAGCGACACUAUGUGUUGUUGGGUAGGGGAGCG